rnacentral:sRNA from 1 species
AGAGAUGCCUGGACAUUCUUUCUCGCCUUCUACACAGCUAGGACACAGAGAUCAUCCUGAUGUUCACAGAUACAGUGUGGAGACUGUACAGUGGUAUCCUCAUGACACUGGCAUGUUCACAUCAAGCUCAUUUGAUAAAACUCUGAAAGUAUGGGAUACAAAUACAUUACAAACUGCAGAUGUAUUUAAUUUUGAGGAAACAGUUUAUAGUCAUCAUAUGUCUCCAGUCUCCACCAAGCACUGUUUGGUAGCAGGUUUUUGGUACUAGAGGACCCAAAGUACAACUUUGUGACUUGAAGUCUGGAUCCUGUUCUCACAUUCUACAGGGUCACAGACAAGAAAUAUUAGCAGUUUCCUGGUCUCCACGUUAUGACUAUAUCUUGGCAACGGCAAGUGCUGACAGUAGAGUAAAAUUAUGGGAUGUGAGAAGAGCAUCAGGAUGUUUGAUUACUCUUGAUCAACAUAAUGGGAAAAAGUCACAAGCUGUUGAAUCAGCAAACACUGCUCAUAAUGGGAAAGUUAAUGGCUUAUGUUUUACAAGUGAUGGACUUCACCUCCUCACUGUUGGUACAGAUAAUCGAA